GACGAACGCUGGCGGCGUGCCUAAUACAUGCAAGUCGACCUUAGUGGCGGACGGGUGCGUAAUACCUAGGAAUCUGCGUGGUAGUGGGGGAUAACGUCCGGAAACGGGCGCUAAUACCGCAUACUAUCAGAUGAGCCUAGGUCGGAUUAGCUAGUUGGUGGGGUAAAGGCUUACCAAGGCGACGAUCCGUAACUGGUCUGAGAGGAUGAUCAGCCACACUGGAACUGAGACACGGUCCAGACUCCUACGGGAGGCAGCAGUGGGGAAUAUUGGACAAUGGGCGAAAGCCUGAUGCAGCCAUGCCGCGUGUGUGAAGAAGGUCUUCGGGUUGUAAAGCACUUUAAGCUGGGAGGCGUUACCAGCAGAAUAAGCACCGGCUAACUUCGUGCCAGCAGCCGCGGUAAUAC
rnacentral:rRNA from 1 species